AUUGAACGCUGGCGGCAGGCCUAACACAUGCAAGUCGAGCGGAUGAAGGGCGCCUGCUCCUGGAUUCAGCGGCGGACGGGUAAGUAAUGCCUAGGAAUCUGCCUGCUUGUGGGGUUUAACGUCCGGAACCGGGCGCUAAUACCGCAUACGUCCUGAUGGAGAAAGUGGGGGAUCUUCGGACUUCACGCUAUCAUAUGAGCCUAGGUCGGAUUAGCUAGUUGGUGGGGUAAAGGCCUACCAAGGCGACGGUCCGUAACUGGUCUGAGUGGAGGAUCAGUCACACUGGAACUGAGACACGGUCCAGACUCCUACGGGAGGCAGCAGUGGGGAAUAUUGGACCAUGGGCGAAAGCCUGAUCCAGCCAUGCCGCGUGGGUGAAGAAGGUCUUCGGAUUGUAAAGCACUUUAAGUUGGGGGGAAGGGCAGUAAGUUAAUACCUUGCUGUUUUGACGUUACCAACAGAAUAAGCACCGGCUAACUACGUG
rnacentral:rRNA from 1 species